rnacentral:sRNA from 2 species
CACGAAGGAACACAGGCUAAGAUCGCCACGUCCUGUGGCAGCAUCUGCAUGACCUGCAUCCUCCCGA